rnacentral:rRNA from 1 species
GAUGAACGCUAGCGGCAGGCCUAACACAUGCAAGUCGAACGGUAACAGGGAUUGCUUGCAAUCCGCUGACGAGUGGCGCACGGGUGCGUAACGCGUAUACAAUCUGCCUUUAACUAAGGGAUAGCCCAGAGAAAUUUGGAUUAAUACCUUAUAACAUUGUGAUUUGGCAUCUUAUUACAAUUAAAACUUCGGUGGUUAAAGAUGAGUAUGCGUCCUAUUAGCUUGUUGGUAAGGUAACGGCUUACCAAGGCAACGAUAGGUAGGGGGCCUGAAAGGGUGAUCCCCCACACUGGUACUGAGACACGGACCAGACUCCUACGGGAGGCAGCAGUGAGGAAUAUUGCGCAAUGGACGAAAGUCUGACGCAGCCAUGCCGCGUGCAGGAUGACGGCGCUACGCGUUGUAAACUGCUUUUAUAUGCCAAGAAACCUUCGGACGUGUCCGAAGCUGACGGUAGCAUAUGAAUAAGCACCGGCUAACUCCGUGCCAGCAGCCGCCGUAACAC